rnacentral:rRNA from 1 species
UACGGGGGGGGCAAGCGUUGUUCGGAAUUACUGGGCGUAAAGGGCUCGUAGGCGGCCAACUAAGUCGGAUGUGAAAUCCCCAGGCUUAACCUGGGAAUUGCAUCCGAUACUGGAUGGCUUGAAUCCGGGAGAGGGAUGCGGAAUUCCAGGUGUAGCGGUGAAAUGCGUAGAUAUCAGGAGGAACACCAGCGGCGAAGGCGGCGCUCUGGGCCGGAACUGACGCUGAGGAGCGGAAGCGUGGGGAGCGAACAGG